GACGAACCGAGCGAACGUUGUUCGGAAUCACUGGGCUUAAAGGGCGCGUAGGCGGGUGCUCAAGUCCGGGGUGAAAUCCUCCAGCUCAACUGGAGAACUGCCUCGGAUACUGGGCGUCUCGAGUGUGGUAGGGGUAUGCGGAACUAUCGGUGGAGCGGUGAAAUGCGUUGAUAUCGAUAGGAACUCCGGUGGCGAAGGCGGCAUACUGGACCACCACUGACGCUGAUGCGCGAAAGCCAGGGAGCAAACGGG
rnacentral:rRNA from 1 species